GGAAGAAUUAAUCCCUGCCCAAACAGAUAAUUCUGGAUCGGAUGAAACAAAUGUACAAGAUGAAGAGGAGAAAGAGCCUAAAAUAAUCAGAAAAUUGAUAAAAUCAUCCAAGGACAAGUAUACGGUGAAGAAAGAAAAGGACGGCCUGACACAGCAUUUAGAG